rnacentral:tRNA from 1 species
GAGAUUAUAGUUAAUUAUAACAUUUAAUUUGCAAUUAAAAAUUAUCCUUAUGAUUUUUCUCA